rnacentral:rRNA from 1 species
UACGUAGGGUGCGAGCGUUGUCCGGAAUUAUUGGGCGUAAAGAGCUUGUAGGCGGUUUGUCGCGUCUGCUGUGAAAUCUCAAGGCUCAACCUUGAGCUUGCAGUGGGUACGGGCAGACUAGAGUGUGGUAGGGGUGACUGGAAUUCCUGGUGUAGCGGUGAAAUGCGCAGAUAUCAGGAGGAACACCGAUGGCGAAGGCAGGUCACUGGGC